UACGUAGGGGGCUAGCGUUGUCCGGAUUUAUUGGGCGUAAAGAGCGUGUAGGCGGCCAGGUAGGUCUGCUGUGAAAACUCGAGGCUCAACCUCGAGACGUCGGCGGAAACCAUCUGGCUAGAGUCCGGAAGAGGAGAGUGGAAUUCCUGGUGUAGCGGUGAAAUGCGCAGAUAUCAGGAAGAACACCCGUGGCGAAGGCGGCAUUCUGGGCCGAUACUGACGCUGAGGAGCGAAAGCGUGGGGAGCGAACAGG
rnacentral:rRNA from 1 species